CACAACCACAAAGCAUAUAUAUAUGAAGCCACGUAUACUUAUAUACAUUAAUUUUCACAUUGUUUUGUCGAGGCUAUGAGUUUUCACAAGUUAGCAAGCACUGGUGGUGGUGAUAUAAAGAAAGUGACUGGGGGGCAGCAGUGAUUGGAAGUAGGAGCAUGAUUUUUGUUAUUUCCCUGGAACUAGAGUUGUAUCCAGAGUCUGUGACUGAGCAGAACAAAAGCACUGGCAAAAUGUGUUUCCGGAUGAUUUCUGAACAUGACCAUGACCGCCAACAUUCACUUGGCACUGUGUGAUGUCACAGUACAGAUGUUGCCACCCAGUGGGCAAAUAGGUCUUCUGAUAAGAGGGGAGGGGUUACAGUCAGAUUUCUAGGUUGGGAAGGUCCUUCCCUGUGGAGAUUUCCUAGCAUUUGGCAAGAUGAGACUCUCCCUUCAAAUAUAGAAGUAUUCCUGGCAGCAAUCCUCAGUGUGGGCUGCUCUGAGCAGCAGAGGAUGUUGUCAUGCGAGAAACAGAGAGCACAAGUCUCAGUUGAAAGUCUCCUGGAACUUUGAGAUUGGGCCAAGAUGCAUUUGCCAGUCAAAUUUGAGACCGUAGGACUAUGUUGUGUGAGGUACAGCACACAGGAAGCCUCUGUUCCUGCUACUGGCUUUGCUCUGGAGGCAAUCAGCUCCCCACUCUCGGCUCAAGUGGUGCUGGCCUGCACUGCAUCCAGGAGUUGUUACCAGUCCUUCUGGUUACGAGUUUUGCUUCUCUUCAAGUGGAUGUUGAAUAUAGGACAGAAUCUAUGCAAACUUAGGAGUGGACAAACAGGAAAGAAAAUGCCGAGGACUCUUAAACCUAUGGGGAAAAGCCCAAUCCACCUUACUCAUAACCGAAAUAUGAAUUUCCAAGGACGUGCAAAGGUGACACUUUUGCCAUACUUUUCCUUGAAGUUGAGAAUCUCCCACGAGUGUUAUAAACUUGGCAUCAAAAGUCCACAAGUAACUAAGGAGGCCCUAGAGUCUCAUUCUCAUUGUGCUCUCAACACCUCCGCUUUCAAUCUUUUCAGUAAAAGCAGAUUUCAUCUUUGCCCAGGGAAUAUGCUUAUUCCUUUAGUAAUCUAAAGUUUUCUGAAACAGAUACCACUUGCGAUGAAAACCCAGCCAGUAAUGACUCUCGCCUCUAUCAAAGCUCUCUAGAACAGUUCUCCCAAAUAGGAAUGGGCCAUCAACAGCCAUUUCUAAACUGUGUGACACUAUGUUUAGGGUUGUCACUAACUGACUCAUGUUUGGACACCUAUGCAAGCUUGGUAAACUCGAGUGUCUUUCCUAGAAAUUCCAAAUUUCAGUGUGAAUCAGGGAGACUGAGGGUUUUAGAAACGGAAGUAUAUUAAAAAUCAUUAAACUUUACUCUUGAGAGGAAAGCCUGUAUAUAUCUCUUAUUGGGAAUAACAAAGAUUAAUUGGUCUUAUUCCUCAUGCUUUUUCAGUCCUUCCUUGGGUUGAGGUACUCUGAAAUAUUUUCAAUAACUGGCAAGCUAAUUAUCAAUUGAUUUUGUUUUUGUAACUAGGUACACUAACUUAGAUGUGAAAAGAAAAUGCAGUCUUAAAUCAAUGUAAAGUGUAUUUGUGUUUUCCUAUGAGACCCCAUCUAUUCCGAGGUGAGGAUAAACCAAAACUGGAUUUAUUCCAUGUGGCUAAAUAGAAAUAAAACUUUACUCUCUA
rnacentral:lncRNA from 12 species